rnacentral:sRNA from 1 species
GCUGGGCAUGUUGACACAUGCCCGUAAUCCCAGCGACUUGAGAGGCUGAGGAAGGAGGAUUGCAAAUUUGAGGCUAACUUUAGCAACUUAAUGAGUAACUUAGCAAGACCUCAGUAACUUGGCAAGACCUUGUCUCAA